CAUACAUCCAUAUAUGGUGCGCACCAGAUGCGCUCUGUUUGCGCAUUCCGAACACGGUUGAGCCCGAGCCGAUGGUCCAAUGCUGCCACCCAUCACAGCAUCACCUGGCUGUGUUUGAUCUGAAAACAACUCUCAAUGACGGACUUAUACUGUCUGUGACAUGUCGGUUAAAUGAAAUCUUCAGAGUCAAGCGUGAAGCAGCUGAGGAGUGGGACCACAUGGAGACACACUCGCCUGCUGACUCUCCAGCUUUUAAUAUGCUUGAAUUGGUGCAGGUGUUCAUGUAAUGCUAACCUCAAGGUUCAGCUUUAAUUAUACUCCUGACAGACUAUGAGCUCCAAUCUCACAUCUGAUGGUUUUCAUGUCGAUCAUUUCUGCCACCCAUUAAUCUGGCUGUGUUUGGAUAAACUUCUGAGGGUGUCAUUUUUGGUUUAAUGUGUUCGUGGGUCAGCAGCAGAGCCAUGGUGUUAAUUAUGGGAGCAGCAGAGCUAUCAUACGCUGGCAGGGAAGACAUUUCUGAAGUGUGGUUGCAAAAUUUCAUGUGAUACAUUCGUGUAAAGGGGGUUAGUCCUAUAGGAUGACUUGAAACUGUUAGCCGUCCAUCGUUCACAGGUUGUUCUAUUACAUUUCUGUCAGUCGAGUCUUUUUUGUUCCAGAUGUGUCUUUCAGCACUGAUCUCCCAAGUUCAAUAUCAGUCCGAGUUAAGUACCAAGUCCCCUAUGUUCAAGUGAGACUUUAGUCUUGGUUUACUGUGUGAACCUAGACUGACUGUGUGGGACCUUUUCGAUGCGUCGUAAAGGGAUUCAGCAGUUUUGUGUCUUGAUCAAGCGGCCACCUCCGGUCUAAAAAUAUGAGUCCAAUGCGGAAGUGAUUAAAAUGUAUAUCAUCGAGGAUCCGCUUGAGGCUGGCUCCGGAAGUACCGGAAA